rnacentral:lncRNA from 1 species
AAGUUGUCCCCAAAACUUACCUAUCAGCAGCAUUGUUUUAAUGUGGCAUCUUUUACAACUUAUGAUUUGGGGAAAAAUUUGGAAAAUGCUGCUCUUCAAGAUACAAGUGAUAAUGGGAAAAAAAUACUUGGCCACGUCAUGAGCAUGACACAGUCAGACGCUGGCGGGAAUCACAGAGGAACUCAUGGUUUUUGAGAUAACUCCAGCACCUCUGCACGUCCCUGCCUGAGUGUUUAUUUGCAUAAUCAGAAGUAAAACCUAGAAACUCAGGUAUCUGUCAUCCCAAGGAAGCCACACGCUGUGCCAGUCCCUCCUCGGAGCUGUGGGCAGCACAGAGCUGGGGCUCAGUGGAGCCACCCAUCCAGCACUUGGCCACAAGGGCCGGACCCCAGCCCCUGCGCAUCCUGCAGGGCGGCCGGGAGCUGCUACACUCCAGGUCGACCCUCAUCCCCAAGGCCUCUCCAUGUCCUGUGAGAAGUGUCCCUGAGGCUCCUGCUGCUAACCCAGCUCCACCAGGAGAAAAGGAAGGCCGCAGGGAGCCCAAGGGGAGCAAGCACUGGCCCUGCUCCUGCAGCAGCUCACCCAGCCCAGCAAGCCCGUGUGCAGGCAGGCCUCGCUCCACAGAUCACUCCAGCUGCCCAGCUGAGACCCACAUCCUCCUGCUGAGUUUGCAUGGGAACAGACCAAGAAGGCAAAGGGGAGAGUGGGUGGGCACGCACAGGGACCAGGGGUGAAAGUCACUCCCUGUGAUCUGAGAGAUACUAAGGGUGGGGCCAGAAGUACCUCUGCCUGGGACCUCACAAUGGGCCAUCCGCUCCAUCGUUCCUCUAAGCAUGUGAGCACUGAGCGCAGACUGGCACGUGACGCCCAGGCAUGCCACGGAGCCACUACUCACCCAGCGUCCACACCCACCAGGCACCCUCCAGCUGCUGGAGACCCAGGAAUAAGCACGUGAAACUGUUCCCAGAGUCUGCAUCUGGCCAUGCUUAUCUACAGUAAAAAGUGUCAGGUGUUAGUUCACAGCCUGCCCAGAACUGGGUUGGAACAAGAGGUUGUUGGGGGGGGGGGUCCAGGAGAUGGAGCCCAGAGCUGGGUGGAGUAGGCCAAGACAGGCCCCAGACAGCGGGAAGGCAAGAAGUCUAAAGACACCCAGCUGCAGACCCAGGGAGUGUGUGUAUGUGUGUGUGUGUGUGUGUGUGUGCAUGCACCACGGCCCACACAGGUCUGGAUACCACAUGUGUGUCCACGCACCAUGUUAGGGAAGGAUAUUGAAAGCAGGCAGGCAGAAAAACCAGGCACGUUCGCCAGCCUCAAGGUUUGUCCUGGGCCCACCCCAACCAAAAAUGAUACAAGAACAAGACAUAAAUGGAUCCCAACCAAGCACUUUGCUGAGCACGGCUGCCGUCCCCACGGUGAGUCUGAUGUUCCAUUAACCACGGACGUCGGCUAUGCUAAUUGCAAAGGGCACCUGGGAAUUCUAAGAUGGCGCACACUUUUAAUGGGGGAAUAAAAAUUCUGAGGCUGACGAUAUAGUUUUGAAAUAAGUUUGGGGAAGUAAACUGGUGGAAGAAAUUUGGCAGGAUCUUCAGGACUGCUGCCUGGUCUAGACAGCCCCAGAGCUCGUGCCCAGGCCCCCGACCCUGUCCCAGCAUAGCGGACCCCCCCAGGGAGGGCCCUGGAGCCAAGGAAUCAGGUGACCUCUCGGCAUGGGGAGCUGUGGGACCCCAGUGGAAUGUGUGUGGGUCUCUGUUUUGCAGAGCAUCUCAUCAGUUGUCAAAAACUCAGGAGGGAUUGUUGUCCCCCUUCUAAAGAUGCAACAUCAAAGGCCACAGGACAAUGCGUCCUCCUUCUUCCCUGUCCCACAGGUAGACUGAGAAGUAGUGUUGCCAUGGAAAGAGAGAAGAAUAAGACAGACAAACAGAAAGAAGCCUCUUGGGGAACCACAGCUCUGCUGCCACGGCCCCAGCCACCCCCCCCACAGCUCUGCUGCGACCACUCACCACCAUUCACAGCUCUGCGGUGACCACCCCAGCCCCCCCCCAUGGCUCUGUGGUGACCACUCCACCACCACCCAGCGGCUGCAGAGUGUCUCCCUAAAACGUCCAAAAGGGUACUUCCCGUUCCUCCUGCUCUCCUGACCUCUUAUCGUGACUACUGCUCCUGAGGGGUGGACUCCUGAGUCCCGCUGGGCUGGUGACUGGCUUGUCCCCUGGGAGCAUGUCAAGGGACACCAGGCUUGGGCAGUGAGCUUCCCAGCAGCAGGAAUGGAGCAGAGGCUCAGCUGUGUCCCCACCCUAGUGCCCAGAGCGGCUACGGUGUCCUGUUCUACCUUCUCGAGAGUGUGAGGGUUGCUAGCAGGUUUCAAGGACGUCUGUCACUCACUGUCACACCACUGAAAACUGAUACUGGAAACGGGGUUGCAAGGAAACCGUUCCAGUCUGCUGCCCAGGAACGCAGAGCUGCCAGGCAGGUUUAGGGCGGCCAGCUGGGCACCCUGUUCCCAGGCCUGGGACCCACUGAGCCGACGGCAAGGCCACAGAGGAGCUCAUGGUCUAGACCAUGGCGAGCCAUCCGACGGGCUAGCAGUCCCUACGGCCUUCCCAGGGGUGGAGCUGGUCAGUGGAGUCUACUGGACAGCGAGACAGAAGGCAGGCGAGGAGACUGCGGAGGGCCAGACCCAAGUGUCCGUUAGGCGCUCGUGCAGAUGGCAGUGGUCAGGGUGUGUGAUCGUGAACUGAUCGGAAACUGAGGAUCGCAGGCAGGAGUCAGAAUGUUCUCGGAACAUCCCCAGGACGAGCUCACAGGCGGGACCCCGAGGCUCCUUAGAACUACUUGGCUGUGAUACCGCGCUGGCCACUCUCCCACACAGAUCAAAGAAGCACCCAGAGCCCACGCCCAGCUCCAACCCACCACGGCCCACUCCUAUCGUGAGUUCAUAAGAAAAACAGGAAACUAUGGGGGAGCCCAAGAAUUUCCUGUGCAAAUCAAAUCCCCCAGAGGGCUAGCUUUGCUCUCAGAACCCCCAGGCAGGGGACUGACUCACAGACAUCUCAGCGACAUUCCUGAAACUGGCCUUUCGCAAAUAUAGCUCCCAAGACACAAAACCAGCCGAGAGCCAAGAUUUUACAAUACAGGGGCUGCAAGAAAAACCCCUCACAGUGACAUCCACCCCAAAUCUCCAAGUACAAGUAUCAGGGUCUUGGUGACAGCUGAGAAUGCACAGGGACAUUAUCCUGGGCGGCCGGGAAGGACGAUGAGCCAGGUAAGCUUUCUCAGAGGAUGGACCCGUGGCCACCCUUCCGUUCGACUGUUUAUAAAUGGCUUUUGAUCUUUGAAAUUGUCAUGGGCUGAGCAGAGACAUAGGUGGCAGGCCCUGCCCCCAAGACCAGGGCACUCCUCCCUGAUUCUGUGCCCAGAAGCUGUGUCUGUCCAGGCCUGCACGUCGGGGUGGGUCUGCUCGCUCUCGUUGGUCCUGGACAGGGCAGGUGCAGCUUCCCCAGGGAUUUUGAGGGUGGUCUGGUGUUUCUCACCUGCAGAUAGCGAACAGCAAGCAAUGGUGACGGCAGGUCACACAGCGUGGUGCCUCACCCGGGUGAGGGCUUGCGUGUCUGUGUGAGCCUAUCUCGUCAUGAUCACAGCAAACGGUGGCGGUGCAUCUUUGCGAUUAUCUGUCAACCUACAGUAUCAACUUGGACAAUGAGUAAAAUUCCCUCCCCAUUUUGAUAUUUUGGGUUCAUUCAUUCUCUACUGUAUAAGCUGAUUUUACAAUGAAUUGAUCUUUGUGUUUAAGACAUAAUCAUUUCUUGUAUAUUUUCAAACUUCUAAUUGGAAAGACAACAGAAGCAUAGUCCAAAAGCUGUAAGCCAAAGCAGCGCCGUGGAGUUCUCCGGGAGCAUCUCAGUCUUGCACACGUCCACCAUUCAAUUGAAAAGGUCCUUAGCUUCUCUUAGUUAAUGUGAAUCGUUUUUGUUUUGCAUUGUUUUGUGUAAUUCUGCUUGGGGGAAUAUUUUAAUGUAAUUUCUGCCUAAAUCAAACAUCCCUUCUGAAUGUCAACUUUUAAAUGUCAAAAUUUGAUGAACCAUAAAUCUGGAAAGUAAGAUUACAAUAUUCUUAAAUUUGAGGCAGAGAAGAGGAGGAGAAAAUUCUGAGGAUUGUAAUGGAAACCCCAUGAAGAGAAAUUGAUAGAAGUCUACGACUGUGAUGAGCUGAAUAAAUACCAAUGUCCAUGUGUGGGAAAUUUUUCUUAAAACUUGUUCAUGUAUUAUUUUGAUCCAGUUUUCUGUGGCAUUUGGUGCCAUAAACCUUUUGAAUUUUAUCUUUAAAUAAAUAAAAAUGCUAUGGAGAUAAAUAUCUUGGAGGUGAACAGGGUCUGAAGAAUAGUGGCCCAUGGGUACCUGUAAAACCUUGUGGAAAUGUGGAAAGCAGCAUUUCACGUGAGCUCCUGGCAACUUGGAAACGCAUUAAGAAACAAGACAUGCCAAACCAGCUGCUCCCGCCUCUCUGCGUCUGCACUUUGGCCUGCCUGCUGCCUAUAGAGCCCUUGGUCCCCUCCAUGUGCUUCUGUGGCCACGGUAAAGAAAACGGUGCAACUGCACACUGUCAGGGCAAGGUGGCUAAGAGGUCAGACCCCCAGGGUGAAGGCCUGAGUCCCAGCUGAACGCGCUGGUCUGGUGGGAGGAAGUCUUGACUGAGCCGAGAGAGAAGAAGCCCAAUGCAAAUUAGGACCCCAGGACCAGCGGCAGUGCCUUGGCCUGCAGACCCCCUUCAUUCUUUACAAGAGGCUGCAACUGACCAGCUCUGCUUUCUGGGGGAGAAGUGAGGUCAUUUUGUUCCCUGGCUGUUUAGUGUGUAAAGAGCAGAGACGUGCCAAGUUGCGUGAAUCAAUUCUCCUAAUGUAUUAUACAAAUGGCAGUCCGUUCUCCCAUCGGAUCGGUCUUCUGGACGAUAGUGUUCCUACAUUAACUAUAUUGUACACUGAGACAUGGAAGGAAGGUACAAGUGGAGGAUCAUAAGAGGAGGAGAAAGGAAUUGUCCUCUGGCCACCUGUGGCGUUGGCCAGGGUCUCCAAGCCUCAGGACACCUCCACACUGCCCUGGGGUGAGGGGUGCAGAGACUGGGAUGAGAAGCAGGCCGUCAGGCUCUGGAGGUUUAUGAUCAUGACAUCGGGAGCUCAGCCGAGCAGCUGGGCCUGGUGGAGGAAUGGAGGACGAGCCCCGCUGACCGGAUCCCCACAGCGCAGUCUCCGCCACAGCCUCCGCUCCAGGACGCUAUGUUGCCACGACAUGGCUUCUGCCUCUGCUGUCCUCCCGUCACUCUGGCCCUUAGCCUCCGAGGUACAGAAUCCACCCCAGGGGGCUCUGGGGAGUUACCCCAGCCUGCAGCUGCAGAGAGGCCAGGCUGUUCUGGACACAUGAGUGGACCUGGCAGAGCUUGGUCAGCACAGUCAGCCAAGGAAGGCCUGGAGAGCCACAUUCAGAUCUUGGGGUUACUUUUCUUCCUCCACACUUGGACCUGCUUCCCCAUCCCACUGUGUGUCCAAAAAUCUACAAAUCUUUCCAAAAAUGUGCAUGUGACAUAUCUCUGUGGAAUCAGCCAGGCCAGAAUUUAUGGCUUAAGGUCAGAGUUAGUGCUCUGAAAUAUGGUUAAUUUUGAACUGGGUAAAAAGUUUCCCUGCACUUGGAUUUUACUUUAAUUUCUGAAGUUAAUCUUCCUGAGGUUACGGAGAAUCUCCAUGGAGUUAAAUCCAGUGGAAUUGGUUCAGACCCCAUCUAUUUUGACCGUCUGUAGCCUUUGGCACCAUUGACUGUUAUUCUCUCCUUCUUGAAAUACCCCCUCCCUUUGGUUUCCAGAAACUGCUCAGUUGGUUUUCCACUCCUCUCCCUGUCUUCCCGGCCGGCUCAGCCUCCCACACCCAGUCACUGAACGCUGCAAAGUUCAUUUCUAGUCACUGGGUUCGCUCUGGGUAUCCCACAGCCAUGCCAUGAGCUCCAGAUUCCGAGAUCCAACCUCCAUUCCUUCUGAGAUUCCUUCGGUCCCCUGCUUCUGGCUUCCUCCUUGAUGACAUGUUGGAGGGAGACCACUUCAACACGAUGCACAGCUGAACUUACAUCCCCCAAACCUCAUACUCUUGCUGCGAUUCAGCGAGGAAAGCCACCACCCAGCCACCUGAAGAGGCUUACAGCCUGGAGCCCCACGGCCUUCCCCAUGCUCCCACUACCUGUGAGCGUUGGGGCGGGUCUGGGAUGUGCCUGGGGUCCAGCUGCUUAAGGCUGGUCCCCACUGCCAGUGUCCAGAGGGGGCCUUGGGAAGGGGUUGGAUCAUGAAGGUUGACCUCAUCGUGGAUGGGACCACUGAAGGAGCACAGCCACGUGGCAGCCACGUGGACGAGGAGAUGGUGGGAACGGUAGGGGGACCAAACUGACAGGACUGGCUGCUGGGGGCAGGCCCUUGAGACUAUAUCAUGUCCCUGGCCCUUUCUCUCCCACUGCUUCCAGGCGGUGAUGAGAUGAGCAGCUUCACCGGCCUCACCUUCCACCAUGACUUCCUGCCUCCUCACAGGCCCUGAAACAAUGCAGCCAUCUGGCCGUGGACAGAAACCUCCGAGACCAGGAGCCAAGAAACUCUUCCCUCCAUCAGGCUGAUUUUCUCAGCUAUUUUGUCACAGCAACGAAAAGCUGACGAAACCAGGUACAACGACACAUAACUCAAACCCCAGCGGAAUGGGAGGCUCAGACAGAAGAUCCCAAGUGUGAGGCCAGUCUGGGCCACUUAGUGGGACCCUGUCUCAAAAUAUUUUUUUUUUAAAGAUUGGUUGAACAAGGCUCCUAAAGCACAAGAAAUAAACCCAAAAAUCAGUAUGUGGAUGGCAUGAAAUUAAAAAGUUUGUGCUCAACAAAAAAAAAAUGAGGUUGAAGAGAGAGCCUACUAAAUGGAAGAUCUUCGCCAUCUCCGCCUCAGAUGGGGCAUUCAUAUCCAGACUAUAUGAAGAACUCAAACAACUUAACACCAAAAUACAAAAAAAAAAAAACCUAAUUAAUAAACAGGAAAAAGAACUAAAUAAAAACAUCUCCAAAGAAGAAAUACAAAUGGCCAACAAAUAUAUGAAAAAUAUUCUACAUCUUUAGCACUUAGGGAAAUGUAAAUAAAAACUACAUUGGGGAGUGGAAGCACCAUAUGAUCCAGCUGUCCCACUCCUCAGUACAUAGCCAAAAGAUCUAAAAUCAGCCUACCACAGGGAUACAGCAAUGUCCACAGCAGCACAAUUCCAAGAGCCAAGCUAUGGAACCGACCUGGGUGCCCUUCAACAGAUGAAUGGGUAAGGAAAAUGUGGAAUAUACACACGAUGGAGUAUUACUCAGUCAUAAAUAAGAACAAAUGAUGGCAUUUGCUGAUCAAUGGACAGAACGGGAGACUAUCGUGCUAAGUGAACUAAGCCAGCCUCAGAAAGUCAGAGGUUGGAUGUCUUCUGUGAUUUCUAGAAGUCAGUCCAAAACAAGGGGGAAGAAAGAGAGAGAGGGAAAAGGGUGACAGGGAGGUUCUAAUCAAACAGAAGAAAGGUCUGUGGACUAGAUGAAGGGGAUCAAGGGGGAGGGAGAAGGGGGGAGGAAUCUGACCUGGCUUUCCCGUCACACAGGAAUGGGCCACAGUGGGUCUUGCUGUCAUAGCACCAUGUGUCCCCACAGAGCAGCACCUGGGACAGGCCUGAAAGUCAGGAGCAGGAGGAACAGUAGAAUAGAGGGCAGGGAAGGGUGGGAACUGGGGAAGGAGGGAAGGGGAGAUGCUGGGGACUCCUGAGAGCAAGUCCCACCUCACGCCUUUGUCACCAUGUCAACACUAAUCCCAAGGUCGUGUAUAACCAAAAAGAUCCAAUAAAGGCAGAGGCAGAGCGUGGGAACUGUGGACCAGUGUGUGCCAACAGAGCGACAGCGUGGUGACCUGAUCUGACUCUGUGACCAAGACCAUGAGAUAAAGCACACUAAGUAAGAAAUAGAAAGUCUCUCUCCAUGAGGCAUGCCAUUAGGAUUUUGAUUAGAAUUGUAUUAAAUCUGUACAGUGCUUUUGGUAGUGUGGUCAUUUUGAUGAUAUUAAUUCUGCCUAUCCAAGAGAACAAUUAGUAGCAAAACAGCAUGGUAUUGGCACCAAAAUAGACGGGUAGACCAAUGGUACAGAAUAGAGGACACAGAGACUAACCCACAAAUUACAGUUAUCUUAUAUUAGACAAAGGCGCCAAAAACCUGCAUUGGAGAAAAAGAUAGCCUCUUCAACAAAUGGUGCUGGGAAAACUGGAAAUCCAUAUGUAACAAAAUGAAACUAAACCCCUGUCUCUCAUCAUGCACAAAACUCAACUCAAAAUGGAUCAAGGACUUAAUAAUUAAACCAGAGACCCUGCAUUUAAUAGAAGAAAAAGUAGGCCCUAAUCUCCAUCAUGUGGGAUUAGGCCCCAACUUCCUUAAUAAGACUCCUAUGGUGCAAGAAUUGAAAUCAAGGAUCAAUAAAUAAGAUGGACUCAAACAAUAAAGUUUCUUCUCAGCAAAAGAAACAAUCUAUGAGGUGAAUACAGAGCCUACAUCUUCGGAACAAAUCUUUACCACAAGAUAGAGCACUAAUCUCUAGGGUAUACAAAGAACUCAAAAAGCUAAACACCCAAAACAACAAAUAACCCAAUUAAUAAAUGGGCCAAGGACCUGAACAGACACUUCUAAGAAGAUGAUAUACAAUCAAUUAACAAAUAUAUGAAAAAAUGUUCAUCAUCUCUAGCAAUUAGAGAAAUGCAAAUCAAAACUACUCUAAGAUUUCAUCUUACUCCAGUCAGAAUGGCAGCUAUUAAGAAUACAAAUAAUAAUUGUUGGCAAGGAUGUGGGAGAAAGGCACACUCAUACAUUGCUGGUGGGACUACAAAAUGGUGUAGCCAAUAUGGAAAGCAGUAUGGAACUGUGGAACCAACCUAGAUGUCCUUCAGUGGAUGAAUGGAUUAAAAAAUGUGGCAUUUAUACACAAUGGAAUAUUACUCACCAAUAAAAGAGAAUAAAAUCAUGGCAUUUGCAGGUAAAUGGAUGACUUUGGAAGAGAUAAUGCUAAGUGAAGUUAGCCAAUCCCCAAAAACCAAAUGCUGAAUGUUUUUUCUGAUACAAGGAGGCUGAUUCAUAGUGCGAUAAGGAGGGGGAGCAUGGGAGGAAUAGAU